rnacentral:lncRNA from 1 species
GCUGAGGGUGUCGGCGAUGGUGGCUUGGCUGCUGUCGCCGGAAGGCCGAGAGAGAGGCCGAGGGAGGCGGCGGCGUUCCGUCGUCGCCAAGAAGGAGAGAGAACAGGGGGAGUGACAGGGGUGUACUGUGAGGGUCUGAGCGGAGAACGGUGGAGCGGCAGCUUAUCACUGCUACUCGCCGGAGUCGGGGAAGAGAGCGGCUUCCGCUGCUCGUUGGCGGAAGUCAGAGAGGAGGGAGCUAGGGCUCGGGCGCCGCUCAUUGCUAUGGGAUGACGGGUCCGUUUCAGCGCGAGAGAAGGGAGAACCAAGGGGCAGUGGCUGUCGCCGCUCGCUCCGGCGAGCUCCGCAGCGGUCGGAAUUUUGAUGGUGAGGGCGAUUUUGGUGAGAAGGGGAGAGAGAGUCGAGCAGUUGAGAGAGAGAGAGGUGACUGAUGUGUGUGUGUGUUUUGUGCGUGACUGAUGGGGGAAGAAAAGGGGGGUGGGAAUGUUGGGCUAGGGUUGGGCUUUUGUUUUAAAUUUUCACUUGGGCCGAUUUUUCUUUUAUUUUGUCAGUUGGGCUGAUUUUUGUUUUAAUUUUCAGCUGGGCCCUUAUUUUAUUUGAGGACUUUGGACUGCCUUCAAUUAAUU